AUGCUUAAUGAUGCAUAGACAAGAAGCAGCCCCUAAUCCCUAAAUGAACUCCUUAUCUCUAAAUAUAUACAGGGGAAGCUAUAUAAACUCAAUUCAGCCCCCUGCUCUUCCAGCUCGUGGGAGAGAGGAAUAGAGGAGAGAGCCGGUGCCUAGGAGACCCGGCAGGGGCAGGGGGAGGGCAGGGAGAAAGUGGGCAAGUUGCAGGGACAGCUGGACACAGCACCCCUCGCCCCAGGGACAUGUAGCCCACCUGCAUCUGCAUUUCCAACAGGAGAUCUGAGGGCUUCUGUGGCAGCAGUGAUACUAGCAAUGGUGACCCUCACUCCUGGACCCUCUCUCUGUUUAGUAGUUUGCAUUAAGGGACCUCGGUGGUCGGCUAAAACUGGCUUUUCUUCCUCAGGGGUACCCGAGAGUGCAGAGUAGAGGCUCAGGGAUUGGAGAACUUGAGGAGCUGGCUGAGGAGCUGGAAGGUAAAGAGGGAUCCAGGAAGCUCCCUGGUCAGCCGUGUCCAGGCCACAUGCACCAGGCUGUGCGCCAUGUGGAGAAUGGACACAAAUAAAGAGAUUGGAGGCAGGGUCCCUGUCUUCAGGAGCCACACACAACAACUGAGCAGCAGACACCACAAAGCAGCAUGCAGACAGAAGCCAAAGGGUGAAACGUGCCAGGUGUCUGAGGGGAAGUCCCUGGAUCGAACACGCCACACGCCGGCUGCCGGGGGAGUCUGAUGAGAUCGGUUUCCUCUCAGAGGCAUGGUGGAAAUGCCAGCGCUGGGUGUGGGAGCCGGGGUCGCACCCAGCUCUUCUCCAACCCGCACGUUCUGUUUCAGCUCUGCUCUGAGCCCACUUGUGGCUCCCCUCGCACAUCUCCUUCUUUAUUUCUUGCUGGGAAAAAUGUGGCAGCGAAACUCUCACCAGGCUGUAAAGAGGGGUCUGAUUUCUCAGGAAGGACGCUUGUUCCCGUGGGCCUGGCUGUGCAGCUCUUACACAGAAGGAAGUGGCAAGUGACUGCCUAGGAUGCGGUCCUGGGUUCCUCCCCCAGAGCCCCACGCAGAGAAGACAGAAAGCCCUCUCCCUCAGCCCCACCCAAAUUAGCAGGUGGAUCAGCAAAGCGGCUGUCCCUCUACAAGCCAGAACUCCCGUAUCAGAGCUGGAUGCUUACUCUAAAAUACAGAUAAUAAAGCCUAUUUGUUUCUUUGAGGUGCACACAGAGUGGCUAAGUGACAUUUAGCAUCUCACUGAUCGCACUGAUCGGGUGUAGGUGAAAACAGGCCCAUAGGAUCGGUCACAGCAAGCUGUCAAAACAGAUACGCAAACAGUGCCGACCGCACAUGAUAGAAAAGAGCCACAGAGCCCUUGGCUGUGCACCUAAAGAAGGCAGGUGCGACCUCACCUACAGCUAUGGGGUGCUUCUUCCCGGAGCCCCAAAGGCUCUCCUCUUACUGCUCAGGGCUGCGUUCCAGAUGGAUGGACUCCCUGCAAGGCAGACUCCUGGAUAAAUACGCACCAUCCCCCGCUGCCACCCCCGUCUUCCCCGCACCCUCUCGGACACCAACUCUGCUUGGGCUCUCAAGGAAGGACAGAGAGUUAGAGCUGAAUGUUAAUCUGGCAUUGCUCUCCCUCAGAUGCACUUAGCAACCAGUGAAAGAAAGAGGAGUCAGGGUAGUGAGACCAUGUUCAUUCUUUAUGGAAAUGAAGUACAGGCCAGCAUUGUUUCUGGAAAUCCCAUAAACUACAGCUUAAUUUCCUUGACCAGCUCUAGGUGAUGCAAGGUUUCGGCCACAUUCACAAACUUGCCUACCCUCUGCCUUCUGAUUCACAAAGCUAGCCAUGGUCAGCAGACAGAUCAGAGGACUUCUGGUAAACAGGUAUAGACCCUCCUCUAAGGACGGGGUUUUGACAGGGACCCCUGAGCUCUACAAGGAUGUUCUAGCUACCAACUGUGGCCCUGGACUCCCGGUGACAGUUUAGCCAGAAAAUAGCAAUAAAAAGUGUCACUUCUCAGUAAGAGGGGUCAGCUCACUGGCAGCACCUGCCUCAAGGGCCCCCUUGGUAUGCAAGCUCUGAGCCCCAAGAACCCUCUCUUCAGGGUCUGUUUGUUAGGAAGGGUCAGCAGGCCAGAAUUCUAGCUCCACUGCUUUCUGUGUCUCCUCCAGUCCCAGGUGAUGACCCUGGUUCUCCAGGGCUGCUGGGAGACCUGAGAGCUUUGCAGAGAGGGCCCAAGUGUGCCUGUCUCUGUUCUACCGUCCAUAACCAUUCCCAUCCUAACGAUCGGCUCCAUCAUACAGAAGACUGAGAACCUGCAAAGCAAGCUGCAUGGAAGAUGGGAACCACCCCCAUUUCAAAGGCAGGAUGCAGCCAGAUAACCCACAGAAGUCUUCAGCCAUAGCCAGGGACUUCGGGAGAGACUCAGGGCAGAACUCCUUCCAUCCUUCACUCACCGGCAGCAUCUGCCACAGAACAGGCGCCGCCACUACAGCCAGGCUGGACGCAGCCCCAGCCUUCCGAGAGCUGCUCCACACAGGCAGAGCACAAGAUGGCAAACGCUUCAAGCUUAGCCACAGGGCACAGGGCACUGGGGUAGGAGAGGGACAGAGCCCAGCCCGAGGGAGCAUCCGGCAGCUCUGAGCAGAGGAUCUGUGAAGGGGAACCUGCAGGCGGAGAGCCAGCCAGGCGCAAUGGGCAGCAGUGAGGAGCUGGGGCUGAAGCUCCUAAGCACACGCUAUGCCUGUGCUGGGCACUGGUUCAGGGGGUGCCCAGUGCAACAGCAAGCCUGCCGCUAGUGGUCCCCCAUGCCUGAUUCCAGUGCGGAAGCCAAAGUAGGGCAUGAGUAAAGGGGCACAAAACAUGCCAGCCUGCGGGGUAGCCAGCUCUCCCUGGACGCCAGGCUAGGCUGCACCAGGAAAUCAUCACGACCCUCGGGGGACCCCGAUUCUCAGGCACAGGCUACAGCCCCCCCCCACCUUGCCGCUUAGUGGCUUGGGCUCACAACAAGGCUGCAGUGAGGUGAUCCAGGAGACUGGGAGGAGCCCCGUGCCCCUACUCUGCCUGUUCCCAGAGGUUCAGGGGCCAGGGGCUGUACAAGUCCAGCCCACACCCUCUUUCUAGAGAAAGUUCCCAAAGAUGUGGCCUCAUUUCUCCUCUUUCUGCUCUGUCCUGCUUGGCCCCCCUGCUCCUGACCUAGACCAAGAAGCUCUCCAUAGCUCACUGCUGUUUCCUCCUCACAGCCCACAGCAUCGAAGGCUGCAAUUAGGACUUGCAGACUGUUGGGAGCCGCGGCCGACACCGGUCGCCUUACUUGGCGGACGUAGGGCCUGUGGGUGGGAGCGGAGCCUGAGCUAGAUUGCCCCUCCCAUUGAGUGAGCCAAGUUGGCGCCUGCUUCCUGCCCCCUGAUUGCGCUGGCAACGUAAACAACCCGCUCUGUAAGAUAGUCUGCCUAGCAACAACUGAUGUUAGCCAAUCAGCCCGCAUCGGGCGCUUUGAACUGAUUGGCCACUGUUGCCCUAUAAAAGUGAAUGCCUCUCCCGCCACGAGGGGAAGCACAGAGAGAGAUAGAGAAAGUCCACCGGCGAGAAAGGGCUGGUGGCAGAGAGGAGGCCUCGCGGGGCCCACGCGGAGAUAAAUAAAGGCAAGAUUGCACACCGCCAGACUUUGUCGUGUGUCUUUCCUGCCGGCCGGGAGCGACCUCGACAUCUGGUGGCCCCCGUACGGGGAAUAAAAGACUCAGCGACGUGCCUCUUCGGCCGGGAGGUGCGAUUGCUGUCGCCUGCGGUACGACGGAGGACCUGGCCCAAUAACAACGGAAGGCAUCGAGCACCUCUUCUCUUCACCCUGAUCAGCUGCGUGAGAUACAGCGGUUCCCGGGACAGGUGAGUACUGGGUCACCUGGGUUGGGUGGACGCACCUAACAGAUUUUGAGCGCCACACGAGUGGACGCUGGGUUUUUUUUUUCUUUUCUUUUCCCUUUGCAUCUGUUUUGCUUUCGCUUCGCUAAUACAGCCCGACAGGCUUUUGAUAGAGCUUGAUCGGAAUGCUCAGAGGAGCCCGGAGCCACUGCCGAUUGUGGGUCUCCGGAGGACCCUCAGGGCUCUAAUUCUGAUUCUGAUUCGGAAGGUUCAGAAGAGGAGGUUGUCUUCGCUAAACAGGACCCUCCUGCACAGCUUAAAGAGGAAUUUAGGGCUCGGGAAGAUAAAAAGGGGAACCAAACACCACCCUGCCCGAGCUACUCCGCCUUACGGGAAGAGCUUAAGCCCUUCCGCCCUUUGGCAAGUUCUCGACCCAUGGUCGCCCCCUUCAGGGCUCCAGGCCCUACUGCACCGCCGUGGCCGGAAGAGGAGUUGCUCCCUGGGCUGCCACCACAACCUAUGGCACCGCCCUGGUUAGAGGGAGAGCUACUUCCUGGGUUGCCUUCUGCGCCCCCAUCUGGGGAGGGAGGAGGACGUUCCUUCUACCAGAGGGUAUGGUCGCGGCUUCCCUUUGAGUGUUCCGGUCUCCAUGCAUUCCCGGUACAAGUAGGAGGCAGGGGAGGAGGAGGAUAUUAUGAGCCCUUAGAAAUUAAACAACUUAAAACUAUCAAGGACGCAGUUUCAGCUUAUGGGCCCAAUGCGCCAUUUACCAUGGCGCUUUUAGAGGCAUUGGCAGGUCUGCUUUUAACUCCUGGAGAUUGGACCCAGCUGGCACGCGCCUGCCUCUCCCCUGGACAAUAUUUAGAUUGGAAGUCCUGGAAUGAGGAAUUCUGUGUAGAGCAGGCGGCAGCCAACAGGGAAAAUAACCAGAGAGAGUGGAACAGGGAUAUGCUAUUAGGGCGAGGAGCCUUUGAGGAAGAUCAAACUCAAUACCCUCGCCAGGUUUAUGAACAAAUUAGCCGCUGUGGCCUCCAGGCCUGGAGACGGCUGGCUGGAAAGGGAGAACAUACGGGUCACCUUACAAAAAUUAUACAAGGGCAGGGAGAGCCAUUUUCAGACUUUGUGGCCCGCAUGCUUGAGGCCGCUAACAGGAUUUUUCCAGAUGCUGAGGCGGCUCACCCUCUCAUAAAACAAUUGAUUUUUGAACAGUGCACUAAGGAGUGCCGUGAUGUCCUAAGAACUAACAAAAAUAGGUCCUUAAGAGUGGACACGCCUGUGCCGUGAAUUGGGUGGCCACGGCCUAACGCCCAAAGGAAGAAUAUCAUUGGCACUCUUUACCAUAAAUUUUUUAAACCUUAAUCAUAAUAAUCAUUCCCCUGCCAUGGAGCACAAUAACCCGUCCCCGACCGACAAAGGGCUGGUGAGAUGGAAAGAUGUCCUUACAGGACAAUGGAUGGGCCCGGAUCCAGUGAUUAGCUGGACCCGAGGUGCGGUUUGUGUCUUCCCACAGGAACCAGGCUGCGAACCGCUGUGGGUCCCGGAAAGAUUGACGUGAGCAGUAAACUCCCCACCAGUUCCUGAUAAAGCACAGGAGGAUAAGCCCGCGGACACAAGUCAACUCGACCCUUCUGGGACCGACGCUCAGCGCUCGAGACCAUCUACAAACUAAAAUGUCUGGUUUGGAGCUUUUUCUAUUCUGUGGGUUCCUAUUAAUCACCCCUGUGAUAUGCUCAGAUUCCACAGAACCACCACAAUAUCUUUGGGGUCCUUGGCACCACCCGCCCACAUUGGCACCUUUUUCGGCGGCCUCGCCCGCCUCACCCAGGGUUUACACCAUCAAUCAAACAGUCCUUGAUUAUCCUAGUAGGGCUUGUGGUUAUUAAAUGCUUGUUAGAUCGCCUCAUACAAACUCAGCAGCAGGUUAAGAUCACAGCUAUGGCAGCCAUGCAAAUGGCAGCAGGUGGCCCAGCAGGCCGCCGCAUAUCUCCUUCACAUUGCAGAACAUCAGCUAUAAGAGCUGAGUGGGCAAGCCAAUGACGGGUAAGAUGGGAAAAGCCCUCCCGGUCAACCUAAGACAGGCUCCACUCAGAUAUACAUGGCCUAUAAGGCCAGGGGUCCCUUCUGGAGUCAAAUUAUUGGCAUUGAGAUGCGAGACCAAGGGUACUGCAGUGCCAUCCGCCCCAAAGGUUGGGGGGAAGGCAGGAAUGAAUGUCUAUAUGCAUCCAGGUUUGGUUCGCAUAUGCCUGGCCCUGCGAAAAAAUGAACCACUCACCUUGAGCAUGGUCCUGGCGCAAGGAUAUGCACAAAACAGGGUGAUGCACAGCAGGGUAUAGACCUCUACAUUCUCUCAUGCCUCGGCCUACAAGGUAGGCCCACUCCUAGGUGUCUAACAGCAACAAGGUCAUAGACACCUUGGAGGGACCCACAGACCAUCCUAUUUUAAUAAAUAAAAAAGGGGGAGAUGUGGGAAGCCGCCUAUGAAUGGCGCCCAUUUCCUGCUUCCGGGUUCUUCCUGGCCUGAACAAGCCCGCCAAAUUGUCAGGUCUGCCCAGUUACCCGUGACGCUAGCCUAUCAGCUUGUUAGGCGCGCUUCUCUGUGAUUGGAUACUGCUUCCCCUUAUAAGAGGUUGUUCCUGCCCCCAACGGGCGGAAGAGGAACCAAUGUUGAGGGUGGCGGACCUUGUUAGGUCCGGUUCGCUGUACGCAAUAAAGUUUGAGAGCUGAUCCUGCUCGAGUUUGGUCUCCUGUCUCCCGCGGCUCCGGUCAUUUGGUGGCCCGCACGGGGACUGAUCAACCCCGAGACACGGCGGUGGUGUGCAACGCUCCAGCGUGGUGCUGCCGGACAGCCGGCACAGGAAGUGACGCCCCGUUCCACUCUGUCGCGACCGCCGUCCUAUGACGUUGCGCCGUGGGGCGGACGGUAUUUUCAUGGGCGGCUACUCUGCCGAGCAGGCUGAGAAAAACGCCGGUUGAGGAAACGGGGGCUGGGGAUUUAGCUCAGCGGCAUAAGCGCCUGCCUUGUAAGCAGGCAAUCGCGAGUUCGAUCCCUGGUACCGAUAAAAAAAAAAAAAACGAAAAAGACCAAAAAUAAAAAAAAAUAAAAAAUAAAAAAUAAAAAGGGGGAGUAAGCCAAGGCCUGCCUCCAAAGGCGCGGUUAUCUAUGGCAUGACAAUGGAUGGGCCCGGAUCCGGUGGUUAGCUGGAACCGAGGCGCGGUUUGUGUUUUUCCGCAGGAACCGAGACGAAAACCACUGUGGGUCCCAGAGAGGUUGACGCGACAAGUCCCUCGACUAAAGAUCAGGCCUGUUCCACCAGAGGCCAACCGCAGACCCAACAACAAGAUGAGCCCUAAAAGAACUGUAGGACAAUCCCUUUUUGGGGGCCUGGAACGGCUUGCUCCCCUAUGUGCUACCCUUGUUAGGCCCUCUAUGCUCCUUGUUCUUGCUCCUGCUUAUAGGACCAUGCUUGCUCCGAUGGGUCACAUCAUUUAUUAAUGGGCGCCUUGCGGCAGCCCGGCGUCAAGUACGCCUGGUUGCCCAUGCGGCCCUGGCAGCAGCCCGUGAUGGGCACAAUGACCCCCAGGCCUACGCAUGGCUCGCUCGACUGGCCUACGA